CAGUCGCCGCGGUAAUACGUAGGGUGCAAGCGUUAAUCGGAAUUACUGGGCGUAAAGCGUGCGCAGGCGAUUUGUUAAGACAGAUGUGAAAUCCCCGGGCUCAACCUGGGAACUGCAUUUGUGACUGGCAAGCUAGAGUGUGGCAGAGGGGGGUGGAAUUCCGCGUGUAGCAGUGAAAUGCGUAGAUAUGCGGAGGAACACCGAUGGCGAAGGCAGCCCCCUGGGCCAACACUGACGCUCAUGCACGAAAGCGUGGGGAGCAAACAGGAUUAGAUACCCGCGUAGUCCCUGUCUCUUAUAC
rnacentral:rRNA from 1 species